GCGCUGGUGGUUCAGUGGUAGAAUUCUCGCCCGCCACGCGGGAGACCGGGGUUCGAUUCCCCGCUAGCGCA
rnacentral:tRNA from 1 species